ensembl:lncRNA
AGUGAAUGCUUAGAGAGCAGUCUUUUACUGUAACAUGCACACUUUGAACACUAAUUUUCAUCUAUUUUUGCAUGCAUGUUAAAACUUGGAGCCAACACAGACUACCCGAUAGACUACCAGACAACUUCACCAAACCAAGUAAGUGCAAUAACCAAGUAAGUGCAAUAACCGACUCUCCAUGCAUUGUCAAUGGGGGAAAUCUAUUUUGGGCAAAAUGACGUCGGACUCAGUGCAGACUGACUCAGGGGGCUCUAAAACACUCUCCAAAAAUGUUUUGAAGCCUCUACCUGUCUCCCUUCUAUUUUUAAUAACCUAAACAUACGUCAAUUAAUUUGGAUCGGUUUUAAGUUAUUUUCUCGGCCUAGGAAGGGCCUAGAAACAUAAUUCUUGCAGAUUCAGGGUCGGACCGAGCCCAGAAAAAAGAAAGUAUGAAAAAAAAAAAAAAAAAAAAUGAAAAUUUCAAAUUUCUUAAAAAAAAAAAAAAAAAAAGACUCGAAAUGGCCUAAAACGUGCUCCUAGACACUUUCUGUGGGAACUUAUUUUUUCACUAACAAAUUUUGUUGACUCCACACUUAAAAAAAAAAAAAAAAAAUGAAAAUGGGAUUUUCUAUACCAAAACAAGCCACCAGGUGGCCAAAAUUUUGCACAAAGGUCGGGCUCAUAAAAUCCUACCGACCAACCCCAACCAUGAUCCCAUGCACCUCCCCCUUCUCCCGUGAGGUCGAUUUUAAAAGUCGUCCAAUGUUAAAACUUGUGGCUCCAAAUUGCUCCAAAUUUCUAGGGGAUGAAGAGGGGACCAAGGGCUACCACUGACACUAUUCCGAAUUCCCAUGCACCGCCCAAAAAAAAAAAAAAACGCUUCACUUUGAACUUUUAAAAUCGAAAUUGCAGUACCCAAAAAAACCGCCAGGGGCGCCACAUUUUUUGAGCAAGUCCGCUGGGCCUAGACCUAUCCGAGGGUGGUCGCCGAAUUCCCAUGCACCGCUCAGUUCUCG